rnacentral:rRNA from 1 species
CAGUAGCCGCGGGAAUACGUAGGGUGCGAGCGUUAAUCGGAAUUACUGGGCGUAAAGCGUGCGCAGGCGGUUCUGUAAGACAGGCGUGAAAUCCCCGGGCUCAACCUGGGAAUGGCGCUUGUGACUGCAAAGCUAGAGUGCGGCAGAGGGGGAUGGAAUUCCGCGUGUAGCAGUGAAAUGCGUAGAUAUGCGGAGGAACACCGAUGGCGAAGGCAAUCCCCUGGGCCUGCACUGACGCUCAUGCACGAAAGCGUGGGGAGCAAACAGGAUUAGAUACCCCAGUAGUCCCUGUCUCUUAUAC